rnacentral:misc_RNA from 1 species
GAUGAAGAACGUAGCAAAAUGCGAUAAGUAAUGUGAAUUGCAGAAUUCAGUGAAUCAUCGAAUCUUUGAACGCGCAUUGCGCCCGCCAGUAUUCUGGCGGGCAUGCCUGUUCGAGCGUCAUUUCAACCCUCAAGCACAGCUUGGUGUUGGGACUCGCGUUAAUUCGCGUUCCCCAAAUUGAUUGGCGGUCACGUCGAGCUUCCAUAGCGUAGUAGUAAAACCCUCGUUACUGGUAAUCGUCGCGGCCACGCCGUUAAACCCCAACUUCUGAAUGUUGACCUCGGAUCAGGUAGGAAUACCCGCUGAACUUAAGCAUAUCAAUAAGCGGAGGA